UCAGACUCAUUGUCUUAGGAUCAUCGAGG
rnacentral:piRNA from 1 species